rnacentral:lncRNA from 1 species
UUCAGUUCUACUUUUGUCUUGUUUCAAAGGCCUUAAAAGAACUGCUCAAUUACUUAUCCGAAUCACCUGGGUUACCUUACAAUUUGCGUGCUGUUGUUUUAAAAAUAUUUUGUUUAUUAUUAAGUCUUUCCACUUUUCUGUGGAAAGACUUAUUGUUUUUGUUCUGAUUAUUAUUAUUAUUAUUAUAUUUUUUUUUUUUUUUUCUUCCGCCAAAUUUUGUUCUUGCGCAAAAUGUUUGUUUCGCAAUAUGUCGCUUAGAUAUUUCUCAUAUGGUAUCGUAUAGUUUAUGCGCUUUUAAAUUUCACCCUGCUAAGGCGAACCAUUUUCUAUGUAAGAGUUAUCUCCCUCUUCACUGUUUAUCCUCUGUGUGCAUCUCCUUCGUAACAAAAUAAGAAAGCGACAAAAUUCUUUUUACAAACUGUUCGUUACAUCUCAGUAAUUUUGGCGUAUUUGGAUCGAAGCGAUUUGAUGAAAUUUUAUAGGAGUUAUCUACCUUUACGGAAUAAAUUUGUCGGUAUGUUUUCUAAACUCCUAAACCGUUAACCGUAUAACCCUGGAAUGUUUUUAUUUGAGUCCCCUGGGUCCUAACUUAGAAAAUUAGGUCAAGGUCAAAGGUCAAGGUCAUAUUUUAGAUUUUUAUAAGUUUUUCAUUUCCCUAUAAUUCUUGAACGGUUAUAGAUACAAAAAAAUUAAGCAGUGAAAAAUGCUUGGUACUUUAAGGGGCAACUUUUUUACAUUAUGACUAUAUUGAUUUUACCAUCAUAUAAGGGACAUAACUCCCAUCGAUGGUUUUUAAAAAGCCAUUUUUAGGCAAAACUCUUAAACAAAAGGUCCUUGACCCAUAGGGUCUUUUGCAAUGACCUUGUGGAGCAAUGACCUUGACGAAGGUCACAAGGUCAAAGGUCAAGGUCAUCAAAUUAUGUGGUUUUGGCACUAUUUAAACAGUUUUAUGAGUGUUUGAAUUUCAACCAACCAACCAACCAACCAACCAACCAACCAAUCAAUCAAUCAUUCAAUCAAUCAAUCAAU